UCUCCUCACUCAGGGCUGAGGUGUCUGGGAAGGAAGAGCUGUGGUCUAGAAGAAGAUGAGGCUGCUGGGUCUUCUCCUGUGCCUGCUGACAGUCCCCCAAGGUGUCCUGUCCCAGGUGCAGCUGCAGGAGUCGGGCCCAGGAGUGGUGAAGCCCUCGCAGACCCUCUCCCUCACCUGCACUGUCUCUGGAUUCUCUCUGACGAGCAAUAGUGUACACUGGAUCAGCCAGGCUCCAGGAAAGGGGCUGGAGUGGGUCGGGGUUAUGUGGAAUGGUGGAGGUACAGACUACAACCCAACACUGAAAUCCCGCCUCAGCAUCACCAGGGACACGUCCAAGAGCCAAGUUUACUUAACACUGAGCAGCCUGAGAGCAGAGGACACGGCCGUGUAUUACUGUGCAAGAGAUGCUCUCAUUGGCCUGUGGUUGGAACCUUUCCCACCAAGAAAGACCCCAGCACAGCCCAAGCCCCUGGGUGCUGAGAUCGGGGUCUGA